UACGUAGGGGGCUAGCGUUGUCCGGAUUUAUUGGGCGUAAAGAGCGUGUAGGCGGCCAGGUAGGUCUGCUGUGAAAACUCGAGGCUCAACCUCGAGACGUCGGCGGAAACCAUCUGGCUAGAGUCCGGAAGAGGAGAGUGGAAUUCCUGGUGUAGCGGUGAAAUGCGCAGAUAUCAGGAAGAACACCCGUGGCGAAGGCAGUCCCCUGGGCCUGUACUGACGCUCAUGCACGAAAGCGUGGGGAGCAAACAGG
rnacentral:rRNA from 1 species